rnacentral:rRNA from 1 species
AUUGAACGCUGGCGGCAUGCCUUACACAUGCAAGUCGAACGGCAGCACGGGAGCAAUCCUGGUGGCGAGUGGCGAACGGGUGAGUAAAGUAUCGGAACGUGCCCAGUCGUGGGGGAUAACGUAGCGAAAGCUACGCUAAUACCGCAUACGAUCUAUGGAUGAAAGCGGGGGACCGUAAGGCCUCGCGCGAUUGGAGCGGCCGAUAUCAGAUUAGGUAGUUGGUGAGGUAAAGGCUCACCAAGCCGACGAUCUGUAGCUGGUCUGAGAGGACGACCAGCCGCACGGGGACUGAGACACGGCCCAGACUCCUACGGGAGGCAGCAGUGGGGAAUUUUGGACAAUGGGCGCAAGCCUGAUCCAGCAAUGCCGCGUGCAGGAUGAAGGCCUUCGGGUUGUAAACUGCUUUUGUACGGAGCGAAAAGGCUCUCUCUAAUACAGGGGGCUCAUGACGGUACUGUAAGAAUAAGCACCGGCUAACUACGUGCCAGCAGCAGCCGCAGUAA